rnacentral:rRNA from 1 species
UACGAAGGGGGCUAGCGUUGCUCGGAAUCACUGGGCGUAAAGCGCACGUAGGCGGACUCUUAAGUCGGUGGUGAAAUCCUGGAGCUCAACUCCAGAACUGCCUUCGAUACUGGGAGUCUCGAGUUCGGGAGAGGUGAGUGGAACUGCGAGUGUAGAGGUGAAAUUCGUAGAUAUUCGCAAGAACACCAGUGGCGAAGGCGGCUUACUGGUCCGGUACUGACGCUGAGGUGCGAAAGCGUGGGGAGCAAACAGG